rnacentral:lncRNA from 1 species
ACAACAACAACAACAACAAAGCAUUUUCCCACUAAGUGGGGUCGCCUAUAUGAAUCCUAGAACGCCAUUGUGCUUGGUUUUGUGUCAUGUCCUCCGUUAGAUCCAAGUACUCUAAGUCUUUUCUUAGGGUCUCUUCCAAAGUUUUCCUAGGUCUUCCUCUACCCCUUCGGCCCUGAACCUCUGUCCCGUAGUCAUAUCUUCGAACCGGAGCGUCAGUAGGCCUUCUUUGCACAUGUCCAAACCACUGUAACUGAUUUUCUCUCAUCUUUCCUUCAAUUUCGGCUACUCCUACUUUACCUCGGAUAUCCUCAUUUCUAAUCUUAUCAUUUCUCGUGUGCCCACACAUCCAACGAAGCAUCCUCAUCUCCGCUACACCCAUUUUGUGUACGUGUUGAUGCUUCACCGCCCAACAUUCUGUGCCAUACAGCAUCGCCGGCCUUAUUGCCGUCCUAUAAAAUUUUCCCUUGAGCUUUAGUGGCCUACGACGGUCACACAACACACCGGAUGCACUCUUCCACUUCAUCCAUCCAGCUUAUAUUCUAUGGUUGAGAUCUCCAUCUAAUUCUCCGUUCUUUUGCAAGAUAAAACCUAGGUAGCGAAAACGGUCGCUCUUUGGUAUUUCCUAAUCUCCGAUCCUCACCCCUAACUCAUUUUGGCCUCCAUUUGCACUGAACUUGCACUCCAUAUAUUCUGUCUUUGAUCGGCUUAGGCGAAGACCUUUAGAUUCCAACACUUCUCUCCAAAGGUUAAGCUUCGCAUUUACCCCUUCCUGAGUUUCAUCUAUCAACACUAUAUCGUUUGCGAAAAGCAUACACCAAGGAAUAUCAUCUUGAAUAUGUCCUGUUAACUCAUCCAUUACCAACGUAAAAAGGUAAGGACUUAAGGAUUGUUGAUGCACAAAAUCAGUGAGGACUUUGGUACAACAGAAAGUAUUAAGUUUGUGAUCUUCGCUAGAUUGCUCUGGUCAUUAGUGUGGAUAAGUAUAUAAAUGGAUUGAGACAUGAAAGCAAACACAAGAUGUACAUGGUUCACCCAGAUUGGCUACGUCCACAGAGUAGAGGAGUUCUCAUUAAUUGUGAAGGGUUUACACAAGUACAUAGGUUCAAGCUCUCCUUUAGUGAGUACAAGUGAAUGAUUUAGUACAAAUGACAUUAGGAAAUAUUAUGGGAGAAUGAUCUCGUAAUCACGAAACUUCUAAGUACCGAAGUGUGGUAUCGUCUUCACUUGCCUUAUCUGUCUCAUAGGUAGAUGUGGCAUCUUCUCUGGAAGUACUCUUCCUCCAUCCAGGGAUGAUAUCUUUAAUUGGUGGAGAUGCACAAAGUAAUGUAUCAAUUUCAUUUGAAGCUUACUUAUAGUUUCAGGCUUGGUCAAGCACGAUACAAACCAUGUAGUAGGAGUCCCCCAAGUCACCGAGCUAGGGGAUCUGCUGAAAGAGGUGACAGACAAGGUAAGCAAUCAGAGCUCCAAGCAAUCAGUCCCAGAUCAAAAGUUUGAUUUCGAGUUUCGGCUGAUUGUUCUCAUUCUCCCUAUCUUGCAGGCAGCAUGAAGGAUAAAGAGAAGAAAAAAUAGAAGAGAUGAUAUGAGAUACUUUUGCUUUUGAAGAAGUAACUUUCCACAGGCUUAUUCUUGAACUGGGCUGGAGGGUUUUCUGGUUUCCUCCAGAGUAUAAGGCCGACUGAAGAAUUUGAGGGUCAAAACAAGUCCAUCAAAUCUAGAGUACGUUCGACCCUGCUGAUAUGGGAUACUUUUGCUGUUGACAAAGUAGUGGAUGUAUCGGCACGUGUUCUGUUACGCUUGUCUCCACAUACUUCCUUGUAUUCUUCUCACUUGCCUUAUCUGUUCCUCAGACAGAUGUGGUAUCUUCUCUGGAAACAUAAGAUGUUGAAGAUGAGUGCUCGAGAGCAAUGCCAGGUAAGUAAUCAGGUAAGGGGUCCAGGCAGUCAGUUCCUGACUGGAAGCUUGAUUCCAAGUGCUGACUGAUUUCUCUCUUUCUCCUUGUCUUGCAGGUAAGAAUAAGGCCAAAGGAAAAGACAGGGAAAAAGCAUGAUAUGGGAUACUCUUGCUUUUAACCCUGAUAAUAUGAGAUAUUCUUGCUCUGGUGUAGCUUGUUUGCAGAGGUAUUAUCGGGGGGAAAGAAAGCUAAGUAUUUCGAGAGGCUUCGUUAGGAGUGCCCUCUCAGAUAUGAGGAAAGGUUGAGCAUUUUUGCAGGUCUGCCUGUCCGUUGAGGAUGGAGGUCGACAUAUAUAGGAGUCUCCCUAACAACAAGUAGUAAUGUUAUUCAUUUACCCUGCUUGGUCAUAGCACGGUAGUGGGAGCUGACAGCUUCACAUGUUUUAACUCUGUCAGAGCACUUUGAAAAAGUGGUCUGUGGUAUCUGGAAAACUGAUGUUGUGUGUGAAGAUUACAGACAAGCUUUAUCCAAGGAGAUCUGGCUCUCGAAGUUGAGAAGCGGUGCCUCUUCGAUUUUCGAACAAGCAAUUCUGUCGGGGAUUUGGCUCUCGAGAUUCAGAGAACGGUACCUUUUCGAUUUUUGAGAAAGCAAUCCUGCUAGGAGUCUGGCUCUCGAGAUUCGGAGAGCGGUGUCUCUUCGAUUUUUGAGAAAGUAAUCAUGUUGGGAGUCUGGCUCUCGAGAUUCGAAUGGUGGUGCCUCUUCGAUUUUGGAGCAAGCAAUCUUGUUGGGAGUGUUCUCGAAUGUGAGUAAAGGUUAGGCAUGUUUGCUAGUCUACCUUGCCAUGAAGCACAAAGGUUGACACACAGGGACUUUCCAAUUAUCCAGCAGUGGUAUUGUUCCUUUACCCUUGUGGGUAAUAAUAUGGUAGCUAAACCUUCAAAAUUUAUAUGUCUAAACUUUGUCAGUGCUGUUUCUUUGCUAUUCUUUUACCCUUCUUAGUCAUAGCGAUGUAGUGAGAGCUGCAAGCUUCACGUGUCUAAACUUUGUCAGAGAUCUUUGGCAAAGUUAUCUGUGGUACCCAUGAGCUGAUGUUGCGUGUGGAAAGUGGAUGAUUGAACAGUAAGAUUCACAUGCUUUCUAAUUCACCAGAAAUCUUCAGCAGAAUGCCCGUAAUUUCUGCAAAGCUGAGUGCAUGUGACAGGUGCUGACAAGGUUGAAAAAGCAGGUGCCUCUUCGAUUUCUGAGAUCGGCCCUCGUGGUCUCUGAGCAGGCCAGCUUUUGAGAAAGCAAACACCUCUUCGAUUUUUGAGAUCGACCUUCGUGGUCUUUGAGCAGCCAGCUUUUGAGAAAGCAAACACCUCUUCGAUUUCUGAGAUCGGCCCUCGUGGUCUCUGAGCAACCCAGCUUUUGAGAAAGCAAACGCCUCUUCGAUUUUUUAGCAGACGCCUCUUCGAUUUCUGAAGCUCCGUCGAGUGCAGAUUUUUAUAGAGGCUGGCAUUAAGUUCCAAAGCACACUUGAAUCUCCACCAGUAGAAGCUCCCUUCUUGCACUUCUAAGAUCUUGAUUUGUCCGACCUCUUCUCUCUUCAACACCUUUGAAAAUGUCUGGCCCCUCCGACCGUCGUUUUGACUUGAACCUUGUUGAAGAGGCAGCCACGCCUUCUCCAGACAACAUAUGGCGCCCAUCCUUUUUAUCCUCUACUGGUCCUCUUACCGUUGGGGAUUCCGUGAUGAAGAAUGAUAUGACCGCUGCGGUGGUGGCCAGGAACCUUCUCACUCCCAAAGAUAACAGACUACUUUCCAAACGGUCUGAUGAGUUGGCUGUUAAGGAUUCUCUGGCUCUCAGUGUUCAGUGUGCAGGUUCUGUGUCUAAUAUGGCCCAACGCCUAUUUGCUCGAAACCCGCCAAGUUGAAUCAUUGGCGGCUGAAGUGAUGAGUCUCAAACAGGAGAUUAGAGGGCUCAAGCAUGAGAAUAAACAGUUGCACCGGCUCGCACAUGACUAUGCUACAAACAUGAAGAGGAAGCUUGACCAGAUGAAGGAAUCUGAUGGUCAGGUUUUACUUGAUCAUCAGAGAUUUGUGGGUUUGUUCCAAAGGCAUUUAUUGCCUUCGUCUUCUGGGGCUGUACCGCGUAAUGAAGCUCCAAAUGAUCAACCUCUGAUGCCUCCUCCUUCUAGGGUUCUGUCCAGUACUGAGGCUCCAAAAUGAUCCCCUUUCCGGUGCCUUCUCUUUCUGGGGCUCUACCGACUGCUGAGACUUCUCCUAAGCAACCUUUGUGAAGGCUCCCUCUUGUUUGUUUAUUUUGACUCAUGUAUAUGUACAUAUUUGUAACUUAUCGGAGAUAUCAAUAAAUAAGCUUUCCUUCAUUUCAACGUAUUGUGUUAAAUACACCAAAGCCUUCUUCGCUAAGUUCUUUGAAUUUUUCUUUUGUUGAAGCUUGUAUGUUGAAGCUUUUGUGAGUGGAGCAUGUAGGUUGAGGUAGUGUUCCCUUAAUUUCCCGAGUGAGGAAAACUUCUCGGUUGGAGACUUGAAAAAAUCCAAGUCACUGAGUGGGAUCGGCUAUAUGAAUCUUAGAACGCCAUUGUGCUCGAUCCUGUGUCAUGUCCUCCGUUAGAUCCAAGUACUCUAAGUCUUUUCUUAGAGUCUCUUCCAAAGUUUUCCUAGGUCUUCCUCUACCCCUUCGGCCCUGAACCUCUGUCCCGUAGUCGCAUCUUCUAAUCGGAGCGUCAGUAGGCCUUCUUUGCACAUGUCCAAACCACCGUAACCGAUUUUCUCUCAUCUUUCCUUCAAUUUCGGCUACUCCUACUUUACCCCGGAUAUCCUCAUUCCUAAUCUUAUCCUUUCUCGUGUGCCCACACAUCCAACGAAGCAUCCUCAUCUCCGCUACACCCAUUUUGUGUACGUGUUGAUGCUUUCACCGCCCAACAUUCUGUGCCAUACAGCAUCGCCGGCCUUAUUGCCGUCCUAUAAAAU